rnacentral:tRNA from 1 species
UGGGGUGUAGCUCACUGGUAGAACACUCACCUAGCAUGUGAGAGGCCCUGGGUCUGAUCCCAGCACCCCAA